rnacentral:lncRNA from 1 species
CUGCAGCAACCCUCUCAAAUGUACAGCAAGUGAGGCAGGGUAGCUUACGUGUUCGUCAAAAACCCCACAUGGAUGGAGAUCUAAGGCAGCCUAUACAAAAGCAAAAUGAGACGAACAUUGAAAAUCCCAUGCAAAAUAUUAAUAUUGAUAGCAAAAUUAGUGACAACCAAAGUGUGACAAGUGAAAAGGACAGCUCAAUUAGUUCAAGAGCCACUGCCAACCCAAGGACCACAGAAUCCUGUGGUUCAUCAGCAGAGACAAAAAGGUCAGAGAUUGGCGACUGAAAACGGGUCUUGGUGAGUACCGAGGAGGGAAUGUUUGGGAAUAAAUGAUGAGGAAGAGACAAAAAGAAAAGGUCAAGAGACAGACAUACAGACAGACAGACAGACAGAUAGAGAUAGAAAGGCAGAAAGAAAGAGCCAGAGACUAAAAAAGAUAUGUAGGAAGAAUCGAAAGACAGUGGAGAGAAAGAGGGAGGAUGGACAGGCAAAGUAUAAAAUAGAGAGAGAUGAGAGGGAGACAGAGACAGAGACAGAGAAAAAGAGAGAAAGAAGGAGAGAGAGAGAGAGAGAGAGAGAAUGCUGGUGGUACUUUUUUCGAAGGAGUUGGUAUGUUGCUAAAUGAGGGACCCCGGGUGUGUCUGUAUAUGUAUGCUAUAUGCUUGUAUGGAUUAAAUUAUCUGUUAUUGAAUAUGUGUUUGCGUAUGGAAGUGUUGUGUUUUAACUGUGCUUUCUUGCGAAUGCUGUAGAAUGUUAUUUUUUAUGUGUGUUGGAAUGUGGAAUGUGUUUGUGUAUGUGAGUGUUUGCUUGUGUGCGGAUGCGUGCUUGUGCAUGCGAGAGUGUUUGCCUUCAUGUUGAACAUACACCUGUCGAACCGCCGGGUCAAGAAGGUACUCAGCGAGGCAUUUAUGUGUUCCGGGAAUGAACUCGGGGGAGGAAGGGGAGAGGUAGGGUAGGGUGGUGGAAGGUUGUCGAGUGCCACAGAGUGCCAGGGAUGAUAAGGUAGGGAUAAAUAAACAAGGUUGUGUUGUGACCCUGAGGCCCGGAUGUAGGUAGAAAAGACAUGGAAGGAUAAGGCUAAUUUACCCGCAGAAUUAAGAUUCGGAUGUAGGAUUAAUAGAGAUGGUCUUUAUAUAUAUGUAUCUGUUUCUCUCUCUCUCUUUUUCCCUCUUUCUCUUUCUCUCACUCUCUCUCUCUUUCUCUGCCUUUCUCGCUCGCUCUCCCUCCCUCUCUCCCUCUC